AGUGAACGCUGGCGGUAGGCCUAACACAUGCAAGUCGAACGGAAGCACAGUAAGAGCUUGCUCUUAUGGGUGGCGAGUGGCGGACGGGUGAGGUAUACAUCGGAACCUACUUUUUCGUGGAGGUUCACGUAGGGAAACCUACGCUAAUACCGCAUACGAUCUACGGGUGAAAGCAGGGGAUAGUCGGACCUUGUGCGAUUGAAUGAGCGGAUGUCGGAUUAGCUAGUUGGCGGGUUAAAGGCCCACCAAGGCGACGAUCCGUAGCUGGUCUGAGAGGAUGGUCGGCCACACUGGAGCUGAGACACGGUCCAGGCGCCUGCGAGAGGCAGCAGAGGGGAAUAUUGGACAGUGGGCGCAAGUCUGAUCCAGCCAUAGCGCGUGGGUGAAGAAGGCCUUCGGGUUGUGAAGCCGGUUUGUUGGGAAAGAAAAGCAGCAGGUUAAGACCACGCUGUAGUGACGGUACCCAAAGAAGAAGCACCGGCUAACUUCGUG
rnacentral:rRNA from 1 species